ACCACCCCGAGCUUUAUUUGGGGACACUUUGGGGUCCCCCAGGAUGUUUUGGGGUCCCCCCGGGUGUUUUUGGGGUUUCUGUGGGUUUUGGGGUCCCCAGGAUGUUUUUGGGGUCCCCCCAGGAUGUUUUUUGGGUCCCCCCGGGUGUUUUUUGGGUCCCUGUGGGUUUGGAGUCUCUGUGCCUUUUGGGGUCCCCCCCGGGAAGUUUUGGGGCCCCUGUGUGGGUUUUGGGGUCCCACAGGGGCUUUUUGGGGUCCCCCCGGGUGUUUUUGGGGUCCCUGAGGGUUUGGGGGUCUCUGUGCGUUUUGGGGUGCCGGGUAUUUUUUGGGGUCCCCUGGGUGGGGUUUUGGGGUCCUCCCAGGAUGUUUUGGGUCCCCCCCCGGUGUUUUUGGGGUCCCC